UGUUUAGCACCGAGCUUCUAAGCCUUCUCGUAGAUACUGCUGCUGCUGAUGUCCUGUUUCUCCAUGAUAAUUCGAAAACAGACGUUCCAUUGUACAACUUGUGUCCACUGUGAGCAAGGUUCCUCACUCUUCUCCUCCUUAAGGAUCUUCUCCUCUUCUGGAUACUGUGAAACCCUAAAUUGCCUCUAUACUGAGCAUUAGAGCCUCUCCUCGGAUUACAAGGUGGAGAUGAAACUAACUCAGACUCUGAAUCAGUUUCUUCAACAACUGGAUUGUUUAGCAAAUAAAGAGAUCUCCUCACGAAAGCAAAGGAGCGUUGCGCAUCUCUGAGAAACAGAGUCAAAUGCAUAUCCAUGAAAAAUCGAGGAAUGGCAGCAAAAUCAGCUGACAAGAGAGGAAGACAAUCCACGCCCCCAAAGAACUUGCAUACACCCCUUGAGCUAAGGGAAGUAGGCUCCUGAAACAUUAAAGAUCCUAACUUUAUAUCAUCACUACCAACAUAAACACUAAAGAUCCUAACUUUAUAUCAACAUGCUAUUAACUUAGUUACUUACCUCAAGAAACCUCACGCCAUGAUCUGCAAAGUCGUCGUUGAUAGGUUGAGAUAAGAAGAAAGACGCAAGCGUACGCAAGCUCAGCUCUUCCCUCCUCAAGUACCUCAUCACCAAACCAAAAACAGUCGACAACCAGCAAUCCCCACAAGACCAAUCUACUGUAAGAGCAAUCACAGGACCACAAAGUCGUCUUGUCCGCCUGCGAUAAAACUUGAGGUCUGAACUACCACCACUUGAUUGGUCACAAAGUCUCUUCCUUUUUCUAUUAUAUACAAUCCCAAACUUAGUAUCAACACUCUUCCCAUCUCCGACAGCUUCAGUUCUCACUCUCCUCCGUUUCACGACGGUAAAGUCUUCUCCUUUGUCGUGUUGUUGCUUCUCAGCGAAGACUUUGCCCCCUUUGCAGUCCCAAUCUGGAUCCACAGCGUCAUGGGCCCGCUUGGCCUUGGGCUCGUCGUUAUUGGGCCAAAUCCGGCGACCCGAGCGGAGGACCCGAGCUCCGUCCGCGGCUUUAACCACCCCGAAUACCCUCGUGGUGCGUCUCAUACCCACUGAAGGCAUCUAAACGACAGCGUUUCACUCAAAUAGGCUCUGACUUGUUGUUACUCGGUCGAUCUAUCUUCUCGGAGGACCCCGAAUCCGAUUUCGAAUCGAGUAGAUCUACGGAGAUCGAAGAAAGUUUGAGAAACUCGAUCGAGAUCUGUUCAUGGGUCGUUGAUUCAAGAAUCAAGUAGACAUGGUGGAGAGAUGAGGAAGUUUUGAGAAGUUUCUCGUUUGGAGAAGGAAGAGAGGGAACUGAGGAGGCUGCUAUCUAGGGUUUAUGAUCGAAGGAGAUUAUCAUUUCGAGGGGUAGAUUGGGUCGUGGCCGUUGGAUGAUUGAAACGACGGUUCGGAUUGAUUCGGCUUCGGUGGGUCCCGGAAGGCUAUAUUUAUUUGUUUUUUGCAUACGUAGGCGGCGUAUUUUUUGGGUUUACACGAAUAUCUAAAACAAUUGAAUUUAAAACGGAGUGGGCCGAAAAUUUCAAAAGGCAAGAUGUUAAUUGACAGAACUACCCUUGUCUUUAAAGCGGAAGGUGUCGGAACUACACUUGUUUAAGACGACACUGAGAUGUGAGAAGAAGAGGAGGAUUACAAGACCAAACACAAUGUCUAUUUUAAAAAGCAAAAGGGUUGUUUAGAGAUUAGAUUUAUUGACUUUGUAUUACAUAUGAUUUCUAUUUUAUUUGGGAAUCUCUGCUAAAACAGAGUUAUUAUAACAUGUAGGAUGCUUUUAUUGCUUGUUAUAUUUAGGCCUUGGCGGUUUCAGCCUCAUCAGCUCCCCAGAAACUUGUUUUCUUUCCUGUCUUUGAGACUGUCUGAAGAACAGCUUCUGGCUCCACGUUGCCUUUCACUGUUACCUUCUGUUCUUUCAGAUCCACAUCAAAUGACUCCACACCUACCAAUACAAUAUUCGUUGUUUGUUUUGUUUACACAUAAAAAUCAAUGAGAUGAGAAAGCAAAUAUAUACAACCAUAAAUAAGAUAUAUGCAAAUUAAUGAAACCAGAGAGUUUGUAACAUAAUGCAAAGUUAUCUGAGACUAACCUUGCAUUUUGCCUAAGACUCUCUUCACAGCUCCCACGCAUCCCUCACAUGGCAUAGCCACCUUUAGAACCACAGUCUACUCGGGUAACGUACCCAAAAAAAAAAUUUGAAGUUAAAAUUCUGGAAAGAUUUAUCAAAGUGGAUUUGUCAAGAUGUAAAAGAAUCUUGAAACACUGUCCCGUUAAUUGCUUUGAAACACCAUGUCCUAAUCAAAUUCCUCAAAUCAUCUCACAGAAACAAACUACUUCCUCCAUACAAAAAAAAAAAAUCAGCUAGAUUGACCUAGACAAAGACAGAUCAACCCUUUUCAACAACAAUUUUACAUGAUUCAUGGUCUUAUAUGAUCCUUGCCAUCAUCACCAGUUUGAUAAAAUGGGAAACUACUGACACCAAUGUUUUUAAUAUAUUUAACUACAGAUCUCUCGCUGAACUGAUUCAUACAUCAUAAAACCAGAUUACAAAGCAUCAACAAACCAUAACUCAAACCAAAGUCAGAUUCAAGUACCUGAGACAUACUUAAAAAUAAAUAAAAAAGUACCUGAGACAUAUUUCUUCUCUUUUUCCUUCCUAUAUGUAAAAGUUUCAACCACAGCGGAGAAAAUUUUGUAAAAGAAAAGAGAUGCUUCUGGAGCUUUUUAAACGAAUGCAGCUUUGACCAAUUCAACGAAUAUAUUCUUAGCUUUUUUUUUCCAUUGUGAGGUCACCCGAAGAUAUUCUUAUUUAAUCAAAUCAUACUAGACCAACUAUUCAACAAAAAAAAAAUAACGGAUGCAUGACCUUGAUGGACGGGUAACUAGAAAACAUCAAAGCCACUGAAUCCACGGCAGAUAAAAUUGUACGGCAGCAAAUUAUCGUAAUGUCAUCUUUCAAACACAUUUCAAAGUCUGAAACUUUACAAAAAAAAAAAAGAGAAUAUUUACAACGAGUUUUUUUUGGACAUGUUUGUUCAAUGUCAUUGCUAGUCCACGAAGCUCUGAUCCAGCGCGGAUCUCUCUUCGCCACCCGACCCGCCGAGAAUCCGACCCGAACGAUCUUCAGCUGCGAUAAAUUCACCGUCAACGCGGCCAAAUACGGCCCCGUGUGGAGGUCCCUGAGGAGGAACAUGGUCCAGAACAUGCUCUCCUCGACCCGCCUCAAGGAGUUCGGGUCGGUGAGACGAUCCGCCAUGGAUAAACUCAUCGAACGGAUCAAAUCGGAAGGUAAAGAGCACGACGGUUUAAUCUGGGUGCUUCGAAACGCGAGAUUCGCCGCGUUUUGCAUUCUGUUAGAGAUGUGUUUCGGAAUCGCGAUGGAUGAGGAGUCGAUCGAGAAGAUGGACGAGAUGAUGAAGACGGUCCUGAUGACGGUGGAUCCGCGAAUCGACGAUUACCUCCCGAUCCUCGCUCCCUUCUUCUCCAAAGAGAGGAGGCGAGCUCUCGAAGUCCGCCGCGAACAGGUCGAUCUCGUCGUGAGCCUCAUCGAGAAGCGACGGAGAGCGAUUCGGAAUAAAACGGCGCCGUCUUUCUCCUACCUCGACACGCUCUUCGAUCUAAAAGUCGAGGGACGCGAAACGGCGCCGUCUAACGAAGAGAUCGUGACUCUCUGCUCGGAGUUUCUCAACGGGGGAACGGACACGACGGGGACGGCGAUCGAGUGGGGGAUCGCGCAGCUGAUCGCGAACCCCGAGAUUCAAUCUCGGCUCUACGAUGAGAUUAGAUCGACGGCUGGAGAUCGUCGGAUCGAGGAGGGUGACGUGGAUAAAAUGGUCUUUUUGCAAGCGUUCGUUAAAGAGCUUCUCCGGAAACAUCCUCCGACUUAUUUCUCGCUGACGCACGCGGUCAUGGAAACGACGUCGCUUGGAGGUUACGAUGUUCCCGCGGGCGUUAACGUCGAGGUUUAUAUUCCCGGUAUAAGCGAGGACCCGAGGAUCUGGUCUAAUCCGAAAAAGUUUGAUCCGGACCGGUUUAUAUCGGGUAAGGAGGAUGCUGACAUAACCGGGAUCAGUGGAGUGAAGAUGAUUCCGUUUGGUGUUGGCCGUCGGAUCUGUCCUGGGCUUGGAAUGGCGACCGUACACGUGCACCUCAUGCUUGCGAGGAUGGUUCAAGAGUUUGAGUGGACCGCUUAUCCGACCGGAAGCGAGAUUGAUUUCGCCGGUAAAACGGAGUUCACGGUGGUGAUGAAGAAUCCAUUGAGAGCCAAGGUUAAACCAAGGGUUUAAUUUUUUUAAAUUAUCUAUUUUCACGUAUUUUAAUUUUAUCUUUGUAUUAUAAAUUUUCUAAUUAUCCAAUAAUCAUUUUGGUUACAAGAAGCUUCUGUUAAAAAUAUUUAAAUAACAAACUUAUGAUCUAAGAGAUUGAUUAAUACUAGUUGAUACUUGAUAGUUUAACCCAUUUACAAUCAUUUAAAUUUUUUAAUAAUCUUAGAAGCUUCCGUUAAAUAUAUUUAACUAAGAAAACUUAAGAUAAGCAUUGAUUAAUAAUAUUAGUUAUAUAUCAAAAAAAACUUCCAAAGGAAAAAAUAUUCUAAACCCAUUUACAAAUCCCUAGCGUAGAGAAACUAUAUAUACACAUAAGCAGAAGCUACAGAGACUAUUAUGCUUCAAAAAGAAGCAAGCCUUUUUAAUUCAAUCCAAGUAAGCUUGUUUAAUUUUCUGUCAUUACCAAAUAUUAUCAGUUCAAGAAAAGGGAUGCAUCAGCCACCUCGCCGCUUGAAUCAGCUACUACUUUCACGGCUUGUGCAAUCCUACGAGCCAGCAUGGCUUUGUAAACAGCCAAAUCUGCAUUCUCUGCAAGAACCUGAGCUCUUCUUCUUUUGGCCAUGGCAAUCUCCAUAGAUGUAUCAGCCCAGGCUUUGGCUUUUUCCACUCUAAGAAAAACGUUUUGUCCCUCCCAAGCUUCCAGUUUAGCCGCCUUUACAGACACUGUCCAAGUUAAACGGUCCACACAAAUUCAGAUCUCCUUCUCAAUAAAUGUUCUAAGCAAGAUUGUUCCAUGUAACUCUAAUAACUCUCAGGUGUAUAUACUAUUCAUCAUUUUAAGUACUUAGCAAAACCAAUUUAUCACAACACUAUCCACCACAAUCCAUGACAAAACAUAUAGGAACAUACCGAGACUUGAUUGUUUGGAUUUUCCAUGGAGUUGACUCCCCUGUCUCUUGAAAGACCUUCUCUUACGAAAUACAGGUUUGAAAAAUAGCGGAGUCUUCUUCGCUUGAUGACCCUGUUUACAUAACAAACAUAACUUUUGUAACACUGAUGGAAAAACAAAGAACACUGGUCUAAGUAUAUACAAGAACAUGACUCUUACCUGGAAAAUUCUGAGGAGUGGUGCUUUUCUCUGCUUCCUUUUCCUCGCCCAGUAAUCAUACACCGCUUCAACCACAUCUUGCCUACCCAAAUACGAAAGACUAGCUACACUAGCUGCUUUCUCAUCCAAGAGAUCAUCGGCAGGGUUACGGAAGUAGUACUUUUCAAACCCAUCAAUCAUCAGUUCAAAAGUAUCUUGAUGAAGUUGUUGAGACGACUUCUCAUCUUCUCCACCAAGCAUUGCCUCGUUCUGCCUCUCCAGCCACUCUUCAUCCUCAGAAUCCAUGUCAUAGAUGGCAGUGCUUCGAGCCAUGGCCCUUGAAACCUCAUCUUCUUUCACAGAUAUAUAUGGAACCGGCAUAGAAAAUGAAGGCAAAGCAUCAAUAUUCUCUGCAUAGCCACACACUUCUGUUACUCCAGGUAUAGGAAUGACUUUCGCACUCUGUUCCAACACAUUCCUUUCGUAGCACUCUUUAUAAAUCUCCUUGAAACCGAGCCAAUCUCGUCUCUCGCAAAACUCAAGCUUCCAACCAUUAUCCCCUACCCACACUACAGAAUGUGUGAACCUGUUGCACGAGCAAGGUCUCAUAGUCUUCCGCGCCUUGAGUUUGUAUCUGAUUUCCCCAUCCUUCUUGAUAACAACGAACCACUCCUUUGAAGAAACGAACUCCAACACGGCACUGAAACCUUCUUCUCUGGUGCAUCUGUCUGAACCCAAAACCAAAAUAUUCACAGAACAACGUAGAGAAUCAAGCUCCUCUUUUGUCAACGGUUUUGGAACGACACUAAUCUCGUUUGAGUUGUUUAGCACCGAGCUUCUAAGCCUUCUCGUAGAUACUGCUGCUGCUGAUGUCCUGUUUCUCCAUGAUAAUUCGAAAACAGACGUUCCAUUGUACAACUUGUGUCCACUGUGAGCAAGGUUCCUCACUCUUCUCCUCCUUAAGGAUCUUCUCCUCUUCUGGAUACUGUGAAACCCUAAAUUGCCUCUAUACUGAGCAUUAGAGCCUCUCCUCGGAUUACAAGGUGGAGAUGAAACUAACUCAGACUCUGAAUCAGUUUCUUCAACAACUGGAUUGUUUAGCAAAUAAAGAGAUCUCCUCACGAAAGCAAAGGAGCGUUGCGCAUCUCUGAGAAACAGAGUCAAAUGCAUAUCCAUGAAAAAUCGAGG
rnacentral:lncRNA from 1 species